rnacentral:rRNA from 1 species
AUUGAACGCUGGCGGCAGGCCUAACACAUGCAAGUCGAGCGGAUGAAGGGAGCUUGCUCCUGGAUUCAGCGGCGGACGGGUGAGUAAUGCCUAGGAAUCUGCCUGGUAGUGGGGGAUAACGUCCGGAAACGGGCGCUAAUACCGCAUACGUCCUGAGGGAGAAAGUGGGGGAUCUUCGGACCUCACGCUAUCAGAUGAGCCUAGGUCGGAUUAGCUAGUUGGUGGGGUAAAGGCCUACCAAGGCGACGAUCCGUAACUGGUGAGAGGAUGAUCAGUCACACUGGAACUGAGACACGGUCCAGACUCCUACGGGAGGCAGCAGUGGGGAAUAUUGGACAAUGGGCGAAAGCCUGAUCCAGCCAUGCCGCGUGUGUGAAGAAGGUCUUCGGAUUGUAAAGCACUUUAAGUUGGGAGGAAGGGCAGUAAGUUAAUACCUUGCUGUUUUGACGUUACCAACAGAAUAAGCACCGGCUAACUUCGUG